rnacentral:tRNA from 1 species
CAGUAAAUAUUUUAAUUAAAAUAUUAGUUUUGGAGACUAAAGAUGUGGAAUUACUUCUUUACUGA